UCGCCCACAAUGCCCUCAACGGUUUCAACACGGAUGUGGCUGGGUGCGUGGUGUGAGCGGAUACAACGCACUUGCCGGUCGGCGCUUGCCGAAGCCCUGUGAAGGGGGCAUCCCUGCUGGGGCCGUAAUCGACUCAGGGUGGUCGUCACAGUCGGUUCCUACUUUGGUCUCCUCGCGCUAACCCCGUAGCGUGUGGUUUUUAGCGGGCUCCAGGCCCGCUUUUUUUU
rnacentral:ncRNA from 1 species